rnacentral:rRNA from 1 species
GCUGGAAUCGCUAGUAAUCGCGGAUCAGAAUGCCGCGGUGAAUACGUUCCCGGGUCUUGUACACACCGCCCGUCACACCAUGGGAGUCGGUAACACCCGAAGUCUGUAGCCUGACGCAAGAGGGCGCAGCCGAAGGUGGGAUUGAUGACUGGGGUGAAGUCGUAACAAGGUAUC